rnacentral:tRNA from 1 species
GGGGAAUUAGCUCAAAUGGUAGAGCGCUCGCUUCGCAUGUGAGAGGUAGGGGGAUCGAGACCCUCAUUCUCCA